rnacentral:rRNA from 1 species
UAACACGUAAACAACCUGCCUUCAGGAUGGGGACAACAGACGGAAACGACUGCUAAUACCGAAUAAGUUCCAAGGGCCGCAUGGCCCAUGGAAGAAAAGGUGGCCUCUACCUGUAAGCUAUCGCCUGAAGAGGGGUUUGCGUCUGAUUAGCUGGUUGGAGGGGUAACGGCCCACCAAGGCGACGAUCAGUAGCCGGUCUGAGAGGAUGAACGGCCACACUGGAACUGAGACACGGCCCAG